UACGUAGGGUGCAAGCGUUAUCCGGAAUUAUUGGGCGUAAAGAGCUCGUAGGCGGUUUGUCGCGUCUGCUGUGAAAACUGGGGGCUCAACCCCCAGCCUGCAGUGGGUACAGGCAGACUAGAGUGCGGUAGGGGAGAUUGGAAUUCCUGGUGUAGCGGUGGAAUGCGCAGAUAUCAGGAGGAACACCGAUGGCGAAGGCAGAUCUCUGGGCCGUAACUGACGCUGAGGAGCGAAAGCAUGGGGAGCGAACAGG
rnacentral:rRNA from 1 species